AUGGGGAUCUAUUUGGCCGCAUA
rnacentral:siRNA from 1 species